AUCAGGCUGAUGAGUCCCAAACAGGACAAAACGCACGUCCUGGAU
rfam:Schistosoma mansoni strain Puerto Rico chromosome W, complete genome